UUUAGAUGAAACCAAAAACACCAGAGGGCAGACAUGUAUUUUACAUUUUAAUGUCGGAAGAAAUAUAAAAGGCUAAUGAAGAAACUAUGCAAUACAUUUAGAACCCUUAGACAUACUAUUACCUAAAUAUGGACCGAAAAAACCAGACAAGUGCGAGAUGUCCUGCACACGAAAAAAUUUGAAAAUGAAAAUGUUAGGUACUAGCUUUUGAGCGGCGUCUUCAUUUGCAGCAGUUUAUGUGAGGAACAUGAUCAUUUAUCCAGCCAAAUAUAUCCAAAAAACUAAACUUCCAAAAUUUCCUAUAAUAUACAAUACAGGCAGAAGAGAAGGAAUUGCGAUUUUAACAACAUACGACAACUAGCACCGAAAUGCCAAUUCGAAACGGAGAAUUCGAAAGCCCUGUGACUGCAACACAAUACUGUACCUGCUCGGAACUAAAAAAAGGCAUGCCGCAAGUAGAUCUUAGCCCUAAAGGAGAAUUCAUAUAUAUCCUCUUCGCAUUAACUUGCCCGUAUACAUUAAGAGACCCAAUUAUACUCGUUAGGGGUCACAAUCGACACAAAACCUUUGAAAAUCUUUAUAAAGAGGUAGUGAAAAAAGUGAAACCAGUUUGCGGUCACAAAGUGAUGGGUGGUGGCAAAAUUAGGCAUAAUGCCGUCAAAAAGACGCUCCAUAUCUUCGGCACGUCAGAUGUUUAUGACAAGGCUGAUCAUUCAUUGACGGCAACCCUAGUCAAGGAUUCAUAUCCUGGAUACGUAAUCACGGCUGAAUGACGACGAAGAAUAAAAAGAUAUUUGUAUACACACAUAUUACAUCAGUGAAUAAAGUUAACUAUUAGAGCUAAA